UUCGCCCUUAGAGUUUGAUCCUGGCUCAGGACGAACGCUGGCGGCGCGCCUAACACAUGCAAGUCGAGCGGAGAUGCACGGAUGAAGUUUUCGGAUGGAUUCCAUACAUUUUAGCGGCGGACGGGUGAGUAACGCGUGAGUGACCUGCCUUCCACAGGGGGAUAACGUACCGAAAGGUACACUAAUACCGCAUGAGACCCCGGCACUGCCUGGUGCAGAGGUCAAAGGAGCAAUCCGGUGGAAGAUGGACUCGCGUCCGAUUAGAUAGUUGGUGGGGUAAUGGCCUACCAAGUCAGCGAUCGGUAGCCGACCUGAGAGGGUGAUCGGCCACACUGGAACUGAGAGACGGUCCAGACUCCUACGGGAGGCAGCAGUGGGGAAUAUUGGGCAAUGGGGGAAACCCUGACCCAGCGACGCCGCGUGAGGGAAGAAGGUUUUCGGAUUGUAAACCUCUGUUCUUGGUGAAGAGUGGAAGACGGUAACCAAGGAGGAAGCCCCGGCUAACUACGUGCCAGCAGCCGCGGUAAUACGUAGGGGCGAGCGUUGUCCGGAAUGAUUGGGCGUAAAGGGCGCGUAGGCGGCUGUUUAAGUCUGGAGUGGAAGUCCUAUUUUUAAGGUAGGAAUUGCUUUGGAAACUGAGCAGCUUGAGUGCAGGAGAGGUCAUCGGAAUUCCCGGUGUAGCGGUGAAAUGCGUAGAGAUCGGGAGGAACACCAGUGGCGAAGGCGGGUGACUGGACUGCAACUGACGCUGAGGCGCGAAAGUGUGGGGAGCAAACAGGAUUAGAUACCCUGGUAGUCCACACUGUAAACGAUGAAUGCUAGGUGUAGGGGGUAUCGACCCCUUCUGUGCCGCAGUCAACACAAUAAGCAUUCCGCCUGGGGAGUACGGUCGCAAGAUUAAAACUCAAAGGAAUUGACGGGGGCCCGCACAAGCAGCGGAGCAUGUGGUUUAAUUCGAAGCAACGCGAAGAACCUUACCAGGUCUUGACAUCCAGGUAAAGCUGCAGAGAUGCAGUGUGUGCUUGCACAAUCUGAGACAGGUGGUGCAUGGUUGUCGUCAGCUCGUGUCGUGAGAUGUUGGGUUAAGUCCCGCAACGAGCGCAACCCCUGCGAAUAGUUACUAACAAGUAAAGUUGAGGACUCUAUUGGGACUGCCGUGGACAACACGGAGGAAGGUGGGGACGACGUCAAAUCAUCAUGCCCCUUAUGACCUGGGCUACACACGUGCUACAAUGGUCGCAACAAAGAGGAGCAAAACCGUAAGGUAGAGCAGAUCUCAAAAACGCGAUCUCAGUUCGGAUUGUGGGCUGCAACCCGCCCACAUGAAGUAGGAGUUGCUAGUAAUCGCGAAUCAGCAUGCCGCGGUGAAUACGUUCCCGGGCCUUGUACUCACCGCCCGUCA
rnacentral:rRNA from 1 species